rnacentral:snoRNA from 1 species
UCACAAUGAUGAAUGGUCCACAACAUUCGCGGUUUCCACCAGAAUUCAAGGUGUUGGCAACUCCUUCCUUGGAUGUCUGAGUGA